rnacentral:rRNA from 1 species
UUUUAAGAGUUUGAUUCUGGCUCAGGACGAACGCUGGCGGCGUGCUUAAAACAUGCAAGUCGAACGAAGUUAAUUUGGAGCUUGCUUCGAGUUAACUUAGUGGCGGACGGGUGAGUAACGCGUGAACAAUCUGCCCUAUACACUGGGAUAACGUCUGGAAACGGACGCUAAUACCGGAUAUGACCACAUUCCCGCAUGGGAGAGAGGUGAAAGGGUUUACUGGUAUAGGAGGAGUUCGCGUCCCAUUAGCUAGUUGGUAGUGUAACGGACUACCAAGGCGACGAUGGGUAGCCGACCUGAGAGGGUGAUCGGCCACAUUGGAACUGAGAUACGGUCCAAACUCCUACGGGAGGCAGCAGUUAGGAAUAUUGGGCAAUGGAGGAAACUCUGACCCAGCAACGCCGCGUGAAGGAUGAAGGUCUUCGGAUUGUAAACUUCUGUUCUAAGGGAAGAAACAAAUGACGGUACCUUAGAAGAAAGCCCCGGCAAACUAUGUGCCAGCAGCCGCGGUGAUACAUAGGGGGCAAGCGUUGUCCGGAAUGACUGGGCGUAAAGGGAGUGUAGGCGGUUCUUUAAGUUAAAUGUGAAAUCCUAAGGCUUAACCUUAGAACUGCAUUUAAUACUGGGGAACUUGAGUGUGGGAGAGGUAAGUGGAAUUCCUAGUGUAGCGGUGGAAUGCGUAGAUAUUAGGAGGAACAUCGGAGGCGAAGGCGACUUACUGGAACACAACUGACGCUGAGGCUCGAAAGCGUGGGGAGCAAACAGGAUUAGAUACCCUGGUAGUCCACGCCCUAAACGAUGGAUACUAGAUGUAGGCGGUAUCGACUCCGCCUGUAUCGUAGCUAACGCAAUAAGUAUCCCGCCUGAGUAGUACGGCCGCAAGGUUAAAACUCAAAGAAAUUGACGGGGACCCGCACAAGCAGAGGAGCAUGACGUUUAAUUCGACGCAACGCGAAAAACCUUACCAAGGCUUGACAUCCGCAGAACACCUGAGAAAUCAGAAUGGUCUAGCAAUAGACUGCGAGACAGGUGGUGCAUGGUUGUCGUCAGCUCGUGUCGUGAGAUGUUCGGUUAAGUCCGGCAACGAGCGCAACCCUUAUGAACAGUUGCCAAUAUUAAGUUAGGAACUCUGUUCAUACCGCCGUGGAUAACACGGAGGAAGGUGGGGAUGACGUCAAAUCAUCAUGCCCCUUAUGUCUUGGGCUACACACGUGCUACAAUGGCUAUUACAAAGAGCUGCAAACUCGUAAGGGCAAGCGAAUCUCAAAAAGAUAGUCUCAGUUCGGAUUGUGGGCUGCAACCCGCCCACAUGAAGUCGGAGUUGCUAGUAAUCCCGAAUCAGCAUGUCGGGGUGAAUGCGUUCCCGGGCCUUGUACACACCGCCCGUCACGCCAUGGGAGCUGGUAAUACCCAAAGUCGGUACACCAACCGCAAGGAGGAAGCCGCCUAAGGUAGGAUCAGUGACUGGGGUGAAGUCGUAACAAGGUAGCAGUACCGGAAGGUGCGGCUGGAUCACCUCCUU